ACGCUGGCGGUAGGCUUAACACAUGCAAGUCGUGCGAGAAAGUAUCUUCGGAUAUGAGUAGAGCGGCGGACGGGUGAGUAACGCGUAGGAAUCUACCUAGUAGAAGGGGAUAGCCCGGGGAAACUCGGAUUAAUACCGUAUACCUCCUUUGGGAGAAAGAAGGCCUCUCUUUGAAGCUUUCGCUACUAGAUGAGCCUGCGUAAGAUUAGCUUGUUGGUGAGGUAAAGGCUCACCAAGGCAACGAUCUUUAGCGGGUCUGAGAGGACGAUCCGCCACAUUGGGACUGAGACACGGCCCAGACUCCUACGGGAGGCAGCAGUGGGGAAUAUUGGACAAUGGGCGCAAGCCUGAUCCAGCCAUACCGCGUGUGUGAAGAAGGCCCUAGGGUUGUAAAGCACUUUAAGUUGGGAAGAAAAGUUAUUGGUUAAUACCCAAUAACCGUGACAUUACCUUCAGAAUAAGGACCGGCUAAUUCCGUGCCAGCAGCCGCGGUAAUACGGAAGGUCCAAGCGUUAAUCGGAAUUACUGGGCGUAAAGCGCGCGUAGGUGGUUUAUUAAGUUGGAUGUGAAAUCCCCGGGCUCAACCUGGGAACUGCAUCCAAAACUGAUUCACUAGAGUACGAUAGAGGGAGGUAGAAUUCACAGUGUAGCGGUGGAAUGCGUAGAUAUUGUGAAGAAUACCAAUGGCGAAGGCAGCCUCCUGGAUCUGUACUGACACUAAGGUGCGAAAGCGUGGGUAGCGAACAGGAUUAGAUACCCUGGUAGUCCACGCCGUAAACGAUGUCAACUAGCUGUUGGGAAACAAUGUUUUUCAGUGGCGCAGCUAACGUAGUAAGUUGACCGCCUGGGGAGUACGG
rnacentral:rRNA from 1 species